UGGGCCCUAAACCCAAUGUCUGUUUCCUUAUAAAAAGAGAGAGAUUUAGAGAAACACAAAGAGACAGACGGAGAGACAAUGGAAGCAGAGAUUUUAGUAAUACAGUUUCCAGCCAAGGAACGUUCAAAAUGGCCGACAACCACCAGAAGUUAGGAAGAGGCAAGGAAGGAUGCUUCUGGAGAGCCUGCAGAGAGGGCAUGGCCCUUCCCAACACCUUGAUUUUGGACUUCCAGCCUCAAAAUUAAUAAUGACCUUCUAAAGAUAUCCAUGUCUACAUAUCUGUGAAUGUUACCUUGUGUGGGAACAUAUUAUAAGGAUGUGAUUAAAUUAAGGACCUUUGAGAAACAAGAAUUGAAAUGGUGUGACUAUGGAAAGAAGCUGUGGCUUUGUUGCCUCACCUAUCCCAAAUCAGUUGGUUUGCUAUCUGCAGGGAAUAAAGAGCAAGUUAUUAAAAGCAGUAAAAGUAAACAUGCAA